UGUGCUUCUGGAACGAUAUCAGGGUGAAUAAAUGAUGACAGGUUUUUUGGAUGAACCGUGCCUUUAAAAGUUUGGAUGCCUCAAAAAGAGAACGAAAAGAAGGAAAUCUGUGUGUGCUGAGGCAGAGCAAGAAGAAACAGGUUUUUCUCUGUUUCACACCACUAAUGACAGACAGCAAACAUCUCUCUCAUUAACAUGACUGGCAUCACUGUCUGAACACCAAACUACGGCGAGAAGUUCAACACUUAAAAGUUUGUGUUGUGCAUAUCCUGUUUCGUGUGGGUGUGAAGAAAGGCUGUUGUGACUGUGUGACAUCCAUCCACAGUAAGACAGCAGCA